GGGCGUGUAGCUCAGUUGGGAGAGCGCCUGCCUUACAAGCAGGUGGUCGGGGGUUCAAGUCCCUCCGCGCCCACCA
rnacentral:tRNA from 5 species